rnacentral:tRNA from 1 species
UGAGUUGUAGUUUAAUUAGGCAGAACACUAUUUUUUGGUGAUAGUAAUUCCAGUUCAAAUCUGGGCAACUCAU